rnacentral:rRNA from 1 species
GAUGAACGCUGGCGGCGUGCUUAACACAUGCAAGUCGAACGGAAAGGCCCAAGCUUGCUUGGGUACUCGAGUGGCGAACGGGUGAGUAACACGUGGGUGAUCUGCCCUGCACUUCGGGAUAAGCCUGGGAAACUGGGUCUAAUACCGGAUAGGACCACUUCUUGGAUGUUGUGGUGGAAAGUUUUUUCGGUGUGGGAUGAGCUCGCGGCCUAUCAGCUUGUUGGUGGGGUAAUGGCCUACCAAGGCGUCGACGGGUAGCCGGCCUGAGAGGGUGUACGUCCACAGUGGGACUGAGAUACGGCCCAGACGCCUACGGGAGGCAGCAGUGGGGAAUAUUGCACAAUGGGCGCAAGCCGGAUGCAGCGACGCCGCGUGGGGGAUGACGGCCUUCGGGUUGUAAACUCCUUUCGCUAGGGACGAAGCGUUUUGUGACGGUACCUGGAGAAGAAGCACCGGCUAACUACGUG